rnacentral:rRNA from 1 species
UACGGGGGGGGCAAGCGUUGCUCGGAAUCACUGGGCGUAAAGCGCACGUAGGCGGCUUUCUAAGUCAGGGGUGAAAUCCUGGAGCUCAACUCCAGAACUGCCUUUGAUACUGGAAAGCUUGAGUUCGGGAGAGGUGAGUGGAACUGCGAGUGUAGAGGUGAAAUUCGUAGAUAUUCGCAAGAACACCAGUGGCGAAGGCGGCUCACUGGCCCGAUACUGACGCUGAGGCACGAAAGCGUGGGGAGCAAACAGG